UUAAAUGGUAAUUAAAACAAGUUGGAACCGUUGAGGCCCAAACUAAACAAACCGUUUGAAAUCCAUUAACUGAAAAUAGUAGUAUUAGUCGAAACGAUAGUCAUGACUAAAUAAAAAUAAAGAGUAAAUAGAAUUUAUAAAAUACGGAAGCAUAAAACUCUCAACUCGAAUCCCAUGAUAACUUCUCCAGCAAGUUAUCUCUACAGACCUGCUUAUUUAAAAAUCUACUCCCCAACAACGCAAAUGCAAUUGAUGGAUCAUCAUAGGGUCAUUAAGGCAAAGGCCAUGACCAGAAGACAUGAAGCACGAAGUCAACAAAAGCUGAGUACGAACAAGCUAGAAUAACAUUCUAUCCUAACAUGCUUCACUCGACAAUUAAAUAAUCCACAUGCAAAAGCCAUAUAAUAAACAAGUAAACAUGGAGACAAUACUCGACACGAGACACGACUCUUGACUGUAAUCCCCCGUAAUUUUAUACAUUUUAUUUAUAUAUUUUAACUAAUAUUUAGUAUAUCUAAUAUAUAUUUAAACAUAAAUUACGGAUUUUAGAAACGAAUAUAAUUGAAAUAUAAUUAUUUUAUUUCAUUUCGAACACUUUUAAUGAUUAUGAAAUCAAAAUGUAUUUUCGAGUUUUACUUUAAAACGAAUUCGAGUUGCAAAACCAUGUUCUAUUGAAAUUAGAAAACAAGUCCUAACCCAUUAAGGAUAUCCUACUCCUAGCCCAAUUGGGAAAAGCCCAAACAAAAAAUAAAACCCUCCCCUUCUCCUUCCUGAUUCACGUAAAGCAGAAAAAAAAAGAGAAAAAGAGAGACAAGGAGCCUUCUUCAACCCUCGACCAGCAGCCUCAUCGACCUCCACCGCGCCGCCGUCCCAGCCACCGUUCGCAUCACCGCGGCCCAGCCACCGUCGCCGGUAGACCUUGCCGCGAGCCACUGUCGUUCCGCCGUCCAGCUUUUCUCUCUCCCUAAUUCGUGGCGGAGAAUUCUCUUUAGGCGACUUUUGAAAGUGUUAAAGUGGCCUAUUAGUUUGUUUACACAAGUCUCUAGGGAUCAAUAAGCAUUGCCCAUCUACAGGUUUGAAGAUGAUGCAUCAUUGGGAUCGGGAUUAGAGAGCUUGUAGUUCUAUUUGUUUAAUUAAGUGAUUCAAUUUGUUAACUUGGAUUUGAAACUUGUCGUACUAUUCGUAUUUCCUUAUUUCAGUUAAUUGUUUUGGACCUAAUAUGUAAUAGAUUAAUUAUGAACCCAAAAGUUAGUUUUAUGUUUUCCGCUGCAAAAUUCUGAAUAAGCCGUACGUUUUUACACGGGCGAUAAUACUUUGAUAAUUCCCUAGAGUUAU